rnacentral:tRNA from 1 species
GUCCUUGUCGAUUAGUGGUUAAAUCAUCUCGUUGUGGUCCAUUCGCUCCGAGAAGCCGGAAGUUCGAAUCCUCCCUGGGACA